rnacentral:lncRNA from 10 species
GCUGUGUGGCACUUCCUGGUCUAAAGCUCUGCUAGACAAUUGCGGUUGGGUGCAGUGUCUCAUGCCUGUAAUCCCAGCACUUUGGAAGGCCAAGGCAGGAGGAUUGCUUGAGGCCAGGAAUUCAAGACCAGCCUGGGAAACAAACAUUUUCUUUGGAGCAUUUUCUUCUUUGGAGGAUUAUACCUUGCUCAUCUUGGCACAAAAGAAGGCGAAAGGAAGUAACAUGGGAUUGGGAAAAGAGCAAGGAGAUAAAGUUUGAGGAAAAAAAAUCACCAUGUUGAUGUCUUCUUGAGUAGGCCAAGUUGCGUAUAAAGAGAAAAUGACAACAGGAGAUUUUAAGGUAUGAUAUAUUGUUAAGAGUAGUACAUAUUUAAGAAGAGAAAAUAUGUUUUUGAAAACAAAUUUAAACUUGAAAGGAUGAUUUUCAUAUUUUGAAGGGAUUUAUAACUUCACAAAGCAUCUCCAUUCUAUCUUGUUCAGCUUUACAUUUAAAAAUAAACUCUUCUUGUUCAUAUAAACCUUAUCUCUUACAUAAAGUGAAAUCUGUUAAUUUUUUGUUUUGACAAGGAUAAACUACUUACCUGCAUCUGUUUAAGAAUAGAUUAACUUAUUUUGAGAAGAAAUUCUGGGCACCAUUUUUGACCAUUGAAGACUUAUUUGUAAUUUAAUUUCUACUUUACAUUGUGAAUGUUCAUUUUCUAAUAAACAAGAUUAUUUUGCAUAUGUAC